AGCUCGUCAUACCAGGUGCUCACCCAGGCCGUGGGGCCUCUGCAGCCUGAGUUUUUCUGCUCCAAAGAAUUAUUUGGAGGAAGGAGAAAGCAUCGGGGACAUGGAGACACCUCAGCCAGCAUCUGGAUGGGCCUGAUAACCUAUGUGAGCCUACUUAUGCUGACUCCAAAAAUCCUGAGUCUGCCGUCUGAUCCUCAAGACAACGCCUUCCUGUCCUGGGCUCACUCCUAUGCAGCAUUUCACAAUCAGUCUAACUGCUGGAUUUGUGGCGCGCUCCCCUCUUCAUCAGUGGAAGGCUUCCCAUGGUAGACAUCUCCACUUCAAGGAAAAGACUUUCUCCAAGUCUGCGAAUACCUUCGACAACAAUCAUAUGUGAUGCCUCGUCUUAAACUGAUGACAUCUAACAACCCUAUAAUGGACUGGUGCAACACGUUGUUCUUUAACUAUGGACAUAAUGUGACGUUUAAUUUUGAUUAUACAUUGUCUCGGUUCAAUGACUAUUUUGCUACACACAAGGCAAAUAGGUCUAAAUCUCAUGGUUUUUUACCUGACGUUUAUCAAAUAUGGGAUGAGGUUAUAUGGUUAACUCCUGAAAAAGGUGUCUAAUAUCUACUGCCCCUAUUUGCUGGGAACAAAUAGAGCCAUCCCCAGAAUUUAGUCAACAACUUAAAUUAUAGUGAUUGGAAACCCUUGGGAUUUUUGCCUCAGGAAAUAUGCAAUGUAAUCAUUCCCGUGUUUUCCAACCCCAAUUCAGGUCCUCCCUUUGUCUGGCCAGGCACUGAUUGGGACU